rnacentral:rRNA from 1 species
UAACGCGUGGAGAACCUGCCGUAUACUGGGGGAUAACACUUAGAAAUAGGUGCUAAUACCGCAUAAGCGCACAGCUUCGCAUGAAGCAGUGUGGAAAACAAAAAGCUAAAGCUUUUGGUGGUAUACGAUGGAUCCGCGUCUGAUUAGCUUGUUGGCGGGGUAAAGGCCCACCAAGGCGACGAUCAGUAGCCGGCCUGAGAGGGUGAACGGCCACAUUGGGACUGAGACACGGCCCAAACUCCUACGGAAGGCAGCAG